rnacentral:rRNA from 1 species
UAGAGUUUGAUCCUGGCUCAGGAUGAACGCUAGCUACAGGCUUAACACAUGCAAGUCGAGGGGAAGCGGCAUUGAGUGCUUGCACUCUUUGGACGUCGACCGGCGCACGGGUGAGUAACGCGUAUCCAACCUUCCCAUUACUGUGGGAUAACCUGCCGAAAGGCAGACUAAUACCGCAUAGUCUUCGAUGACGGCAUCAGAUUUGAAGUAAAGAUUUAUCGGUAAUGGAUGGGGAUGCGUCUGAUUAGCUUGUUGGCGGGGUAACGGCCCACCAAGGCGACGAUCAGUAGGGGUUCUGAGAGGAAGGUCCCCCACAUUGGAACUGAGACACGGUCCAAACUCCUACGGGAGGCAGCAGUGAGGAAUAUUGGUCAAUGGACGGAAGUCUGAACCAGCCAAGUAGCGUGCAGGAUGACGGCCCUAUGGGUUGUAAACUGCUUUUGUAUGGGGAUAAAGUUAGGGACGUGUCCCUAUUUGCAGGUACCAUACGAAUAAGGACCGGCUAAUUCCGUGCCAGCAGCCGCGGUAAUACGGAAGGUCCAGGCGUUAUCCGGAUUUAUUAGGUUUAAAGGGAGCGUAGGCUGGAGAUUAAGUGUGUUGUGAAAUGUAGACGCUCAACGUCUGACUUGCAGCGCAUACUGGUUUCCUUGAGUACGCACAACGUUGGCGGAAUUCGUCGUGUAGCGGUGAAAUGCUUAGAUAUGACGAAGAACUCCGAUUGCGAAGGCAGCUGACGGGAGCGCAACUGACGCUUAAGCUCGAAGGUGCGGGUAUCAAACAGGAUUAGAUACCCUGGUAGUCCGCACAGUA